UACGGAGGGUGCAAGCGUUAUCCGGAUUCACUGGGUUUAAAGGGAGCGUAGGUGGGCUGGUAAGUCAGUGGUGAAAUCUCCGGGCUUAACCUGGGAAUGGCGGUUGAAACUGGCGAACUUGAAUCUGGCAGAGGGGGGUGGAAUUCCACGUGUAGCAGUGAAAUGCGUAGAGAUGUGGAGGAACACCGAUGGCGAAGGCAGCCCCCUGGGCUAGCACUGACGCUCAGGCACGAAAGCGUGGGGAGCAAACAGG
rnacentral:rRNA from 1 species